GAUCAUGGCUCAGGAUGAACGCUAGCGACAGGCUUAACACAUGCAAGUCGAGGGGCAGCGGGGUGUAGCAAUACACCGCCGGUGACCGGCGCACGGGUGAGUAACGCGUAUGCAACUUGCCUAUCAGAGGGGGAUAACCCGGCAAAAGUCGGACUAAUACCGCAUGAAGCAGGGAUCCCGCAUGGGAAUAUUUGCUAAAGAUUCAUCGCUGAUAGAUAGGCAUGCG
rnacentral:rRNA from 1 species